rnacentral:rRNA from 1 species
UUGAACGCUGGCGGCAGGCCUAACACAUGCAAGUCGAGCGGAUGAAGGGAGCUUGCUCCUGGAUUCAGCGGCGGACGGGUGAGUAAUGCCUAGGAAUCUGCCUGGUAGUGGGGGAUAACGUCCGGAAACGGGCGCUAAUAUCGCAUACGUCCUGAGGGAGAAAGUGGGGGAUCUUCGGACCUCACGCUAUCAGAUGAGCCUAGGUCGGAUUAGCUAGUUGGUGGGGUAAAGGCCUACCAAGGCGACGAUCCGUAACUGGUCUGAGAGGAUGAUCAGUCACACUGGAACUGAGACACGGUCCAGACUCCUACGGGAGGCAGCAGUGGGGAAUAUUGGACAAUGGGCGAAAGCCUGAUCCAGCCAUGCCGCGUGUGUGAAGAAGGUCUUCGGAUUGUAAAGCACUUUAAGUUGGGAGGAAGGGCAGUAAGUUAAUACCUUGCUGUUUUGACGUUACCAACAGAAUAAGCACCGGCUAACUUCGUG